rnacentral:rRNA from 1 species
ACAACUUUCAACAAUGGAUCUCUUGGCUCUCGCAUCGAUGAAGAACGCAGCGAAAUGCGAUAAGUAAUGUGAAUUGCAGAAUUCAGUGAAUCAUCGAAUCUUUGAACGCACCUUGCACUCCUUGGUAUUCUGAGGAGUAUGCCUGUUUGAGUGUCAUGA